rnacentral:piRNA from 1 species
UAAAAAAAUGAUGGAACUACG